rnacentral:rRNA from 1 species
GUGGAUUAGAUACCCUGGUAGUCCACGCCGUAAACGAUGAUGACUAGCUGUCGGGGCUCUUGGAGUUUCGGUGGCGCAGCUAACGCGUUAAGUCAUCCGCCUGGGGAGUACGGCCGCAAGGUUAAAACUCAAAGAAAUUGACGGGGGCCUGCACAAGCGGUGGAGCAUGUGGUUUAAUUCGAAGCAACGCGCAGAACCUUACCAGCGUUUGACAUGGUAGGACGGUUUCCAGAGAUGGAUUCCUUCCCUUACGGGACCUGCACACAGGUGCUGCACGGUCGUCGCCAGCU